AGGACUAACGCUGGCGGCGUGCCCAACACAUGCAAGUCGAACGAGAGUAGCAAUACUCUAGUGGCAGACGGGUGAGUAACACGUGGUCAACCUACCUCUAUGUGGGGGAUAACUAGCCGAAAGGUUAGCUAAUACCGCAUACGAUCGUCGAGCGGCAUCGCUUGACGAUGAAAGGAGCAAUCCGCAGAGAGACGGGACCGCGUCCCAUUAGCUAGUUGGUGGGGUAAUGGCCUACCAAGGCGACGAUGGGUAGCUGGCUUGAGAGAGCGACCAGCCACACUGGGACUGAGACACGGCCCAGACUCCUACGGGAGGCAGCAGUGAGGAAUUUUCCGCAAUGGGCGAAAGCCUGACGGAGCGACGCCGCGUGUGGGAAGAAGGCCUUCGGGUCGUAAACCACUGUCGAAGGGGAAGAUAUUGACGGUACCCUUGGAGGAAGCCCCGGCUAACUACGUGCCAGCAGCCGC
rnacentral:rRNA from 1 species